rnacentral:rRNA from 1 species
AGGACGAACGCUGGCGGCGUGCUUAACACAUGCAAGUGGAGCGACGAACCAGGGCUUGCCCUGGGGCAGAGCCGCGAACGGGUGAGUAACACGUGGGUUACCUGCCUCAAUGACUGGGACAACCCGAGGAAACUCGGGCUAAUACCGGAUGUGCCCGCAAGGGGAAAGGAAGCUUCGGCCUCCGCAUUGAGAUGGGCCCGCGGCCCAUUAGCUUGUUGGUGAGGUAACGGCUCACCAAGGCGACGAUGGGUAGCUGGUCUGAGAGGACGAUCAGCCACACUGGGACUGAGACACGGCCCAGACUCCUACGGGAGGCAGCAGUGGGGAAUCUUGCACAAUGCGCGAAAGCGUGAUGCAGCAACGCCGCGUGGGAGAGAAGGCCUGGUGUAAAUCCUUCAGUUGGACGAAGCUUCGUCGGUUAAUAGCCGGUUGGAGUGACGGUACCUUCAGAGAACGCCCGGCUAACUACGUGCCAGCAGCCGC